rnacentral:rRNA from 1 species
UGUGACGGCGUGCCUUUUGCAUAAUGAACCUACGAGUUACUUUUUCCGGCAAGGUUAAGCAUCUUGAGAUGUGGAUCCGAAGCGAAAGCGAGUCUGAACAGGGCGGAUAGUCGGAAGGAGUAGACGCGAAACCAAGUGAUCUACCCUUGGGCAGGUUGAAGGUUAGGUAACACUAACUGGAGGACCGAACCGAUAAGCGUUGAAAAGCUUCCGGAUGACCUGAGGGUGGGGGUGAAAGGCUAAUCAAACUUGGAGAUAGCUCGUACUCCCCGAAAUGCAUUUAGGUGCAGCCUUGAGAGUUACUAAUGUGAGGUAGAGCGACUGAUAAGAUGCGAGGGCUUCACCGCCUAUCAAGUCUUGAUAAACUCCGAAUGCGCAUUAGUUCUAUCUCAGGAGUGAGGGCAUGGGUGCUAAGGUCCAUGUCCUAAAGGAGAAGAAUCCAGACCAUCAGCUAAGGUCCCCAAAUAAACACUAAGUUGAACUAACGAAGUCAGAUUGCUAAGACAGCUAGGAUGUUGGCUUGGAAGCAGCCAUUCAUUUAAAGAGUGCGUAACAGCUCACUAGUCGAGGAGUUUGGCGUGGAUAAUAAUCGGGCAUUAAGUGUUUUACCGAAGCUAUGGGAUCCUAACGGAUCGGUAGGGGAGCAUUCCACUCAGCGUUGAAGGCGAAGCGUGAGCUUUACUGGAGCGUGUGGAAAAGCAAAUGUAGGUAUAAGUAACGAUAAAGGGGGUGAGAAACCCCCUCGCCGCAAGACUAAGGUUUCCUGAUCAACGCUAAUCGGAUCAGGGUUAGUCGGGUCCUAAGGCUCAGCCGAACGGUGAGGCCGAUGGCAGAACAGGUUAAUAUUCCUGUACUACCUAUAAGAGUGAUGUGGAGACGGAGGAGUGACAACGCCGCGGACUGACGGAAUAGUCCGUUAAAGGGUGUAGAUGUUGAUUAUCCCAGGCAAAUCCGGGAUAAGAGUCGAACCUGACAGUAUACCAAUUUCCUCGGAAAACGGUAAUAGUGCGUGUAAACAUACUCCCAAGAAAAUCCGCUAAACUUAAUCUUAUAGGUACCCGUACCGUAAACGGACACACGUAGUCGGGUUGAAUAUACUCAGGCGCUUGAGUGAAUCACGGUUAAGGAACUAGGCAAAUUGACCCUGUAACUUCGGGAUAAAGGGUCCCUACCCGGUGACGGGAGGGCGCAGAGAAUAGGUCCAGGCAACUGUUUAACAAAAACACAGGGCUGUGCAAAAUUGAAAGAUCACGUAUACAGCCUGACACCUGCCCGGUGCUGGAAGGUUAAGAGGAGAUGUCAUCGCAAGAGAAGCAUUGAAUUGAAGCCCCAGUAAACGGCGGCCGUAACUAUAACGGUCCUAAGGUAGCGAAAUUCCUUGUCGGGUAAGUUCCGACCUGCACGAAUGGUGUAAUGAUCUGGACACUGUCUCAACCGUGAGCUCAGUGAAAUUGUAGUAUCGGUGAAGAUGCCGAUUACCCGCGAUGGGACGAAAAGACCCCGUGAACCUUUACUAUAGCUUAACAUUGAAUUUGGGUAAUUGAUGUGUAGGAUAGGCCGGAGACUUUGAAGCAGGUACGCCAGUAUUUGUGGAGUCGCUGUUGAAAUACGGCCCUUUGGUUAUUUGAGUUCUAACUCGCUGGUGCGAGGACACUGUUUGGUGGGUAGUUUGACUGGGGUGGUCGCCUCCAAAAGCGUAACGGAGGCUUCUAAAGGUGCCCUCACGCCGAUUGGUAACCGGCGGUAGAGUGUAAUGGCAUAAGGGCGCUUGACUGGGAGACUUACAAGUCGAUCAGGUAGGAAACUAGAGCAUAGUGAUCCGGUGUUUCCGUAUGGAAGGGACAUCGCUCAAAGGAUAAAAGGUACUCCGGGGAUAACAGGCUGAUCCCUCCCAAGAGCUCAUAUCGACGGAGGGGUUUGGCACCUCGAUGUCGGCUCGUCACAUCCUGGGGCUGGAGAAGGUCCCAAGGGUUGGGCUGUUCGCCCAUUAAAGUGGCACGCGAGCUGGGUUCAGAACGUCGUGAGACAGUUCGGUCUCUAUCUAUCGUGGGCGUAUGAAAUUUGCGUGGCUCUGACACUAGUACGAGAGGACCGUGUUGGACUGACCUCUGGUUUACCGGUUGUGCCGCCAGGUGCAUUGCCGGGUAUCUAAGUCGGGAUUGGAUAAGUGCUGAAAGCAUCUAAGUACGAAGCCAGCCACAAGAUUAGAUUUCUUU